GCUGGGGGAUUAGUGGCGAACGGGUGAGUAACACGUGAGUAACCUGCCCUUGACUCUGGGAUAAGCCUGGGAAACUGGGUCUAAUACCGGAUAUGACCAUUCCACGCAUGUGGUGGUGGUGGAAAGCUUUUGUGGUUUUGGAUGGACUCGCGGCCUAUCAGCUUGUUGGUGGGGUAAUGGCCUACCAAGGCGACGACGGGUAGCCGGCCUGAGAGGGUGACCGGCCACACUGGGACUGAGACACGGCCCAGACUCCUACGGGAGGCAGCAGUGGGGAAUAUUGCACAAUGGGCGCAAGCCUGAUGCAGCGACGCCGCGUGAGGGAUGACGGCCUUCGGGUUGUAAACCUCUUUCAGUAGGGAAGAAGCGAAAGUGACGGUACCUGCAGAAGAAGCGCCGGCUAACUACGUGCCAGCAGCCGCGGUAAUACGUAGGGCGCAAGCGUUAUCCGGAAUUAUUGGGCGUAAAGAGCUCGUAGGCGGUUUGUCGCGUCUGCUGUGAAAGACCGGGGCUCAACUCCGGUUCUGCAGUGGGUACGGGCAGACUAGAGUGCAGUAGGGGAGACUGGAAUUCCUGGUGUAGCGGUGAAAUGCGCAGAUAUCAGGAGGAACACCGAUGGCGAAGGCAGGUCUCUGGGCUGUAACUGACGCUGAGGAGCGAAAGCAUGGGGAGCGAACAGGAUUAGAUACCCUGGUAGUCCAUGCCGUAAACGUUGGGCACUAGGUGU
rnacentral:rRNA from 1 species